rnacentral:lncRNA from 1 species
AUUGACGUCCGGAGAAGCUGUCACCUCCUCCAUGGCCCUGACACCGGCCCUCAAGGGCCUAGCCUUCCUCUCCACCAAGAAAUUGCCUCCAAGUCUCCCAAAGGUUUUUUAUUUGGUUUAGGAGAAAAGAAAGAUGAAAAAGAUCCCAAAAAAUAGGUUUAAAACUGAUUUUAUAGUGAUUUUCGUAAUCUGGGCCUAUUUUGUCUUUUUCUGGCG